AGAACUGGUACAGCAUGGACAGCAGCUGUGCAUGUUUUCAGUACUGUUCUGCCAAUGUGCCUCACCCU
rnacentral:sRNA from 1 species